GCAUAUAGUAAAAAGGUAUGUCACUGCAUGAAGGUAUUUUUAAUAGUCAAAUUAUUUUUUUAGAAUUGCAAUCAAGUUUUCUUGUAAAGUAUACAUAAUGGUAAGUUAAUAUUAAUCAUAUCAUCACCUUCCAUGGGAAGCCUAAGGUUGAUUGAUGUGCAGGAAAUCCAUCUAAUAUUUAAAAUUUUGUUACAGAGCAAUAACAACAACACCACCACCACCAACAACAACAACCAUGUGAAUAGUGUGCUUAGGCAAUUGAUUGGUCAACUCAAUACUCACCUGUCAACUUUGAAUCAACCCUCAACCCCAAAUCAGCCCUCAACCUAUGAUCAACCGACAACUCCCAAUCACCCUUUCUUCUCUAAUCACCAUUCCACCUCUAAUCACCCUUCCACUUCUAAUCACCCUUCCACUUCUAAUCACCCAUCCACUUCUAAUCACCCAUUCACUUCUAAUCAUCCUUCCACUUCUAAUCAUCCUUCCACUUCUAAUCACCCAUCCACUCCUAAUCAUCCAUCCACUUCUAAUCACCCAUUCACUUCUAAUCAUCCUUCCACUUCUAAUCAUCCUUCCACUUCUAAUCACCCAUCCACUCCUAAUCAUCCAUCCACUUCUAAUCAUACUUCCACUUCUAAUCAUCCUUCUGCUUCUAACCAUCCUUCUACUUCUGAUCACCCUUCCACUUCUAAUCAUCUGUCUACUUCUAAUCACUCUUCUAUGUCAAGGCAGCCUUUAAUAUAUCAUCACCUUCCAUCAGGAAGGCAGCUUAGUUCAAACACAAUGCCUGCUGUUGCUGAACAUAGAAGAUUGUUUACAAGGCAGUCUGUAAGUGUUUUUUGUAUGUCUAAGACAUUGUAAAAUUUAUAUAAUAAAUUAUUUAUUUUGCAAAGUAACCAUUUAGGUUUAACAUAGGCA